UAUCUUUUAAUGCGGAUAUUAUGGUGUGCUAUUUGGUGUGACAAUUACAGUCUAUAUCAUUAGUUAAAUAGGUCUGAACAGAAAAAUUAUCUUAUCAGUAGAAACGACAAGACUACGUACAGCUUAUCCUCUCGAACAUAAAAACGUCUGCUGUAUCUCACAUAUUUUGUACGUGUUCCAGUUAAAGCAUGCCAUGAGUAGGAUUGGGCUAUUAUUGAUAGUAAACUGCUUGAUUUAUUACUAAUUUAUUUUUAAAAACAGAACUUUUAAAUUAAUGAUCAACACUGUUUAACAUAAUUUAAUUAUUUAAACUAUUUAAAAAAUUAAAAUUUAUGUUUUUCGAUAUUAUUAAUUGAAUUGGUAUGUACGUAUUUG
rnacentral:lncRNA from 1 species